AGCCAUGCAUGUCUAAGUAUAAGCAAAUUAUACCGUGAAACUGCGAAUGGCUCAUUAAAUCAGUUAUCGUUUAUUUGAUAGUACCUUACUACAUGGAUAACCGUGGUAAUUCUAGAGCUAAUACAUGCUAAAAACCCCAACUUCGGGAGGGGUGUAUUUAUUAGAUAAAAAACCAAUGCCCUUCGGGGCUCUUUGGUGAUUCAUAGUAACUUAACGGAUCGCAUGGCCUUGCGCCGGCGACGGUUCAUUCAAAUUUCUGCCCUAUCAACUUUCGAUGGUAAGGUAUUGGCUUACCAUGGUUUCAACGGGUAACGGGGAAUUAGGGUUCGAUUCCGGAGAGGGAGCCUGAGAAACGGCUACCACAUCCAAGGAAGGCAGCAGGCGCGCAAAUUACCCAAUCCCGACACGGGGAGGUAGUGACAAUAAAUACUGAUACAGGGCUCUUUUGGGUCUUGUAAUCGGAAUGAGUACAAUUUAAACCCCUUAACGAGGAACAAUUGGAGGGCAAGUCUGGUGCCAGCAGCCGCGGUAAUUCCAGCUCCAAUAGCGUAUAUUAAAGUUGUUGCAGUUAAAAAGCUCGUAGUUGAACCUUGGGCCUGGCUGGCCGGUCCGCCUCACCGCGUGUACUGGUCCGGCCGGGCCUUUCCUUCUGGAGAACCCCAUGCCCUUCACUGGGUGUGUGGGGGAACCAGGACUUUUACUGUGAAAAAAUUAGAGUGUUCAAAGCAGGCCUUUGCUCGAAUACGUUAGCAUGGAAUAAUAGAAUAGGACGUGCGGUUCUAUUUUGUUGGUUUCUAGGACCGCCGUAAUGAUUAAUAGGGAUAGUCGGGGGCAUCAGUAUUCAAUUGUCAGAGGUGAAAUUCUUGGAUUUAUUGAAGACUAACUACUGCGAAAGCAUUUGCCAAGGAUGUUUUCAUUAAUCAGUGAACGAAAGUUAGGGGAUCGAAGACGAUCAGAUACCGUCGUAGUCUUAACCGUAAACUAUGCCGACUAGGGAUCGGGCGAUGUUUCUAUCUUGACUCGCUCGGCACCUUACGAGAAAUCAAAGUUUU
rnacentral:rRNA from 1 species